GACGAACGCUGGCGGCGUGCUUAACACAUGCAAGUCGAGCGGUAAGGCCCUUUCGGGGGUACGACGAGCGGCGAACGGGUGAGUAACACGUGGGUGACCUGCCCUCAGCUCUGGGAUAAGCCUGGGAAACCGGGUCUAAUACCGGAUAUGACUCCAUGACGCAUGUUGUGGGGUGGAAAGCCUUGUGCGGCUGAGGAUGGGCCCGCGGCCUAUCAGCUUGUUGGUGGGGUGAUGGCCUACCAAGGCGACGACGGGUAGCCGGCCUGAGAGGGCGACCGGCCACACUGGGACUGAGACACGGCCCAGACUCCUACGGGAGGCAGCAGUGGGGAAUCUUGCGCAAUGGGCGAAAAGCCUGACGCAGCGACGCCGCGUGAGGGAUGACGGCCU
rnacentral:rRNA from 1 species